UGCCAGCCUCCGCGGUAAUUCUGAGUGGGUUAUCGUUGUUCGGAAUUACUGGGCGUAAGGCGCACGUAGGCGGAUUAGUAAGUUAGGGGUGAAAUCCCGGGGCUCAACCCCGGAACUGCCUCUAAUACUGCUAGUCUUGAGUUCGAGAGAGGUGAGUGGAAUUCCGAGUGUAGAGGUGAAAUUCGUAGAUAUUCGGAGGAACACCAGUGGCGAAGGCGGCUUUCUGGACCAAUACUGACGCUGAGAUGCGGAAGCGUGGGGAGCGAACAGGAUUAGAUA
rnacentral:rRNA from 1 species